UGGCGACCGGCGCACGGGUGCGUAACGCGUAUGCAACCUACCUUUAACAGGGGGAUAACACUGAGAAAUUGGUACUAAUACCCCAUAAUAUCAUAGAAGGCAUCUUUUAUGGUUGAAAAUUCCGAUGGUUAGAGAUGGGCAUGCGUUGUAUUAGCUAGUUGGUGGGGUAACGGCUCACCAAGGCGACAUACAUAGGGGGACUGAGAGGUUAACCCCCCACACUGGUACUGAGACACGGUCCAA
rnacentral:rRNA from 1 species